GGACUAUUGUAUAGCACUCAUAAAUGAUUAAAUAAAAAAUAAUGGUAGUUAUUAAGAUUGAUAUGGUUUGGAAUUGGUAAAAAAUGCUUGGAAAAAAUCACAAUAAAACAAUGUUUUAAUGUUUAAGUUUGGAAUAUUAACUGACGUGAAUGAAUGCUAUAUAAACAUUGUUCAUGUUAACAUAAUGUUUAUGAAUGGAAUCUUAUUGUAAAGUGUUACUAAAGUUAUAUAUAUAUAUUGUUCUGUGAAUGUGAUUUUAAAGUCUAGAUGAUUCGGAUUAACCCUUUAACUGCCAUAUCCUUUAAAACCUCACUGCCAGAGGGAUAUUGUGAAUGCAUGUGCCCGCUGGGCACAGUUUACCUGAUGCCACCGGGGUGGCGAUGGCACUGGUGGCUUGAGCCCGCCAUCGCUGCUUGCAGCUAUAUUUAGGGCUCAAGCCUGGAGGGCGAGAGCCCUAUUGUUUUCCUUAGGAUUAUUUUUUAUUAUUAUUAUUAUUAUUAGGGCUCAAGCCUGGAGGGCGAGAGCCCUAUUGUUUUCCUUAGGAUUAUUUGUUAUUAUUAUUAUUAUUAUUAUUUAUUCUUCUAAUUUUUUUCCAAGGUUUCGGGGGCUUUUGGGGUCCUUAACAUGCUUAAAAAGUCUUGAAAAUUGGCACACACAUUGGAACCUGCGGCCAUUAGGGCCGGGCAGAGACUGAUACACGGGCGUGGCACAGGGGCUCUACAGCGCCCCCUGGAAUAUGGAGGGCCAUAUAUCAUACAUUCUUGCUCGUAGACGUAUGAAACUCGGUACACAUAUAAAUCUCAUCAAUCCAAACAACUUUUGUAUUGCAUAUCAUAGGCUCCGCCCAACAGGAAGUUGGCUAUUUAGGGUUUAGUAUUCAAAUUUUUCGUCAAAGUUGUGGGGGCUUUGGGGGUCCUUAACAUACUCAAAAACUCUUGAAAAUUUGCGCACACUUUGGAAUCUGUGGCCUUUAGGAGCCUGCAGAGGCUGGGACCCGGGCGUGGCACAGGGGCUCUACGGCGCCCCCUGGAACACAGUCAGAAAUGUUGAUGUAUAGCUCACACAUACUUGCACAUAUUCAUAUGAAACUCAGUACACAUAUAGAUCUCAUCGUGCCGAACAACUUUCGUAUUGCAUGUCAUAGGCUCCACCCAACAGGAAGUCAGCUAUUUAGAGUUAUGUAAAAAGCGCAUGCUCUGGAAUUUGAAAUACUUGUCAUAGGUUUUUUUCUCGAUUGCCGCCAAACUCGGUCAACAUGAUCUCAAGACACUGGGGAUGAAAAAUUGCCAGGGGAUUUUUGAUAUCUCGAACGGUUUGCUCGUGGCGAGGCGUUGAAAUUAUGGCGAGAAAUUAGAAACAGGAAGUGUCUAAUACCAUCCACAUACAUUUCCUGAUUUUAAUCAAACUUCAUCAGAUUAUUCGUUGUAUGAUGUCGAUCGCAUAUAUGUGACUAUUAGGAGUCAAAGUUAUAGCGCCACCAACUGGCAGAAGGAAGUGUGUCAUUUUCAAAAUGAUUUGAAUUCAGCAUCUUAUUAUUACUCGAUUUGCUUCAAACUUCAUCAGAAUAAUGUUAAAACACAGCUGAUAUAAAUCUGCAAGGGGGAUAUUGAUAUCUAAAAAAUUGUUGCCGUGGCAACAUGUCAAACUGGAAUACUUCUCAGGUGAUUUUGAGGCAUAUAACAUGCUUAGAAUUUCAUCAAACUCAGAACACAUAUCAGUAUUUAUGAUAACUAGACACUGGCAAAAGUUCAUAAGAGGGCGUGGAAGAGGCACUCUAUAGCGCCACCUUUUGUCAAAAGUGGGGGGGUUAGUUUUAGCUACAGACACCAAACUCGGUACAAAAAUUGUUCUCAUCAAGACGGACAACUUUCUAAUUCACAGUCAUCAGCUACGAUCAACAGGAAGUCAGCUAUUUUGAUUUGAAUGUGGAUUUUUUUUUUUACAUUUAGCUGUGAAUUAAUGCAUACUGCUCAGAGGAGAGUAACACUAUACACACCAAAUUUUGUCUACAUGAUGCCAAAACAUUUUAAACAACUUAAAUUGCCAAUAGAUUUUGGAUAGCUUGAACGGUUUUGUCUCUGUGAUUUUUUUUAAAUGACAUUAAAAAUGGAAUUAUUAA